rnacentral:rRNA from 1 species
UCAUCCUGCUAAAUAGUUAUACGUAACUUCGGUAACGUAGGCAACUUCUUAGAGGGACUCUGUGUGUCUAACGCAAGGAAGUUUGAGGCAAUAACAGGUCUGUGAUGCCCUUAGAUGCUCUGGGCUGCACGCGCGCUACACUGAUGCACUCAACGAGUUUCUUGACCUUGCCCGAGAGGGUUGGGUAAUCUUCUCAAAGUGCAUCGUGAUGGGGAUAGAUUAUUGCAAUUAUUAAUCUUGAACGAGGAAUUCCUAGUAAGCGCGAGUCAUCAGCUCGUGCUGAUUACGUCCCUGCCCUUUGUACACACCGCCCGUCGCUCCUACCGAUUGGGUGUUCCGGUGAAUAACUCGGACUGCUGCAGUCUUCUGCUUCUGAAAACUGUGGC